rnacentral:rRNA from 1 species
GAUAAACGCUGGCGGUGUGCUUUAUGCAUGCAAGUCGAACGGUUUUCUUUUCUUCGGAUUUGAAAAUAGUGGCGGACUGGUGAGUAACGCGUAAGUAACCUGCCCUUAAGUGGGGGACAACUACUGGAAACGGUAGCUAAUACCGCAUAAGGUAAUGAGGAGGAUGCUUCAUUACUAAAGGCGAAAGCCGCUUUUGGAUGGGCUUGCGUCUGAUUAGCUAGUUGGUGGGGUAACGGCCUACCAAGGCGAUGAUCAGUAGCUGGUUUGAGAGGAUGACCAGCCACAUUGGGACUGAGAUACGGCCCAGACUCCUACGGGAGGCAGCAGCAAGGAAUAUUGUGCAAUGGGCGAAAGCCUGACACAGCGACACCGCGUGGGG